rnacentral:rRNA from 1 species
UUAGAGGUGAAAUUCAUGGAUCGUCGCCAGACAAACUACAGCGAAAGCAUUUGCCAAGGAUGUUUUCAUUGAUCUGGAGCGAAAGUCAGAGGAUCGAAGACGAUCAGAUACCGUCCUAGUUCUGACCAUAAACGAUGCCAACUGACGAUCCGAGGCGAGCUACUUUUGGCCCCUCGGGCAGUCCCCGGGAAACCUUUAAGUCUUUGGGCUCCGGGGGAAGUAUGGUUGCAAAGCUGAAACUUAAAGGAAUUGACGGAAGGGCACCACCAGGAGUGGAGCCUGCGGCUUAAUUCGACUCAACACGGGAAAACUCACCCGGCCCGGACACUGUGAGGAUUGACAGAUUGAGAGCUCUUUCUUGAUUCGGUGGUUGGUGGUGCAUGGCCGUUCUUAGUUGGUGGAGCGAUUUGUCUGGUUAAUUCCGAUAACGAACGAGACUUUAACCUGCUAAAUAGUGUGCUCGUCUUCUGUCUUGUUCAGUGUUCUUACUGCUUUGAUCCCUCGAGGGUUGGAGUGUUUGAAUUACUGGCUUGUACGGUGCGGGUCUCACUUCUUAGAGGGACAAACGGCGCUUUCAGUCGUACGAAAAUGAGCAAUAACAGGUCUGUGAUGCCCUCAGAUGUCCGGGGCCGCACGUGCGCUACAAUGACGGUUUCAACGAGUAUGGGAACCUGGCCCGAAAUGGUUGGGUAAACUGUGCCAUAACCGUCGUGACUGGGAUCGGGGUUUGCAAUUAUCCCCCGUGAACGAGGAAUUCCUGGUAAGUGCAAGUCAUAAGCUUGCGCUGAUUACGUCCCUGCCCUUUGUACACACCGCCCGUCGCUACUACCGAUUGAAUGGUUUAGCAAGGUCAUCGGAUUGCUGCAAUACGUAGCGUAAGCUACAAGAUUGU